UUAGGUUAAGUUAUUAAGGGCGUAUGGUGGAUGCCUUGGCACUAGGAGCCGAUGAAGGACGUGACUAACUGCGAUAUGCUUCGGGGAGUUGUAAGUAAACUAUGAUCCGGAGAUUUCCGAAUGGGGAAACCUAACAGGUUUUACCGCCUGUUAUCACUAAGUGAAUUCAUAGCUUAGUUGAAGGUAGACGUGGGGAACUGAAACAUCUAAGUACCCACAGGAAGAGAAAGAAAUUCGAUUCCCUCAGUAGCGGCGAGCGAACCGGGAAGAGCCCAAACUAAGAAGCUUGCUUCUUAGGGUUGUAGGACUGAACAUCUGAGUUACCAAGAAAUGAAGUAGUUGAAUAAUCUGGGAAGAUUAGCCAAAGAGAGUGAUAGCCUCGUAAGCGAAACUUUGUUUCCUCAGUUCAGGAUCCUGAGUACGGCGGAACACGUGAAACUCCGUCGGAAUCCGGGAGGACCAUCUCCCAAGGCUAAAUACUACCUAGUGACCGAUAGUGAACCAGUACCGUGAGGGAAAGGUGAAAAGCACCCCGGGAGGGGAGUGAAAUAGUUCCUGAAACCAUAUGCCUACAAGUAGUCAGAGCUCGUUAAUGAGUGAUGGCGUGCCUUUUGUAGAAUGAACCGGCGAGUUACGUUAGCGUGCGAGGUUAAGGAGGAAAGUCCGGAGCCGUAGCGAAAGCGAGUCUGAAUAGGGCGAGAUAGUACGUUGACGUAGACCCGAAACCAGGUGACCUACCCAUGUCCAGGUUGAAGGUGCGGUAAAACGCACUGGAGGACCGAACCCGUGUAUGUUGAAAAAUGCUGGGAUGAGGUGUGGGUAGAGGUGAAAUUCCAAACGAACUUGGAGAUAGCUGGUUCUCUCCGAAAUAGCUUUAGGGCUAGCCUCGGAGUUAAGAAUCGUGGAGGUAGAGCACUGUUUGGACUAGGGGCCCGUCUUGGGUUACUGAAUUCAGAUAAACUCCGAAUGCCACAGAUUUAUAUCCGGGAGUCAGACUGCGAGUGAUAAGAUCCGUAGUCGAAAGGGAAACAGCCCAGACCACCGAUUAAGGUCCCAAAAUAUGUGUUAAGUGGAAAAGGAUGUGGAAUUGCAUAGACAACUAGGAUGUUGGCUUAGAAGCAGCCACCAUUUAAAGAGUGCGUAAUAGCUCACUAGUCGAGUGAUCCUGCGCCGAAAAUGUAACGGGGCUAAACACAUUACCGAAAUCGUGGAUGUACCUUAGGGUACAUAGUAGGAGAGCGUUCUAAGGACGGCGAAGCUAGACCGUAAGGACUGGUGGAGUGCUUAGAAGUGAGAAUGCCGGUAUGAGUAGCGAAAGAUCAGUGNACUGGUGGAGUGCUUAGAAGUGAGAAUGCCGGUAUGAGUAGCGAAAGAUCAGUGAGAAUCUGGUCCACCGUAUGACUAAGGUUUCCUGGGGAAGGCUCGUCCUCCCAGGGUUAGUCGGGACCUAAGCCGAGGCCGAGAGGCGUAGGCGAUGGAUAACAGGUUGAGAUUCCUGUACUGGUUAAACUUGUUUGAACAAUGGAGGGACGCAGGAGGCUAUCGAUGCGUACUGUUGGAUAUGUACGUUCAAGCAACAAGUCUGUAGGUGAGUCAAAUGCUUAUCUACUUAAGGACAAGUUGUGAUGAGGAGCGAAAUUUAGUAGCGAAGUGAGAGACGUCACACUGCCAAGAAAAGCUUCUAGUUAGAGUUUAAUCACCCGUACCGCAAACCGACACAGGUAGUCGAGGCGAGUAGCCUAAGGUGAGCGAGAGAACUCUCGUUAAGGAACUCGGCAAAAUGACCCCGUAACUUCGGGAGAAGGGGUGCUGAGCGCAAGCUCAGCCGCAGUGAAUAGGCCCAGGCGACUGUUUAUCAAAAACACAGGUUUCUGCAAAAUCGUAAGAUGAAGUAUAGGGGCUGACGCCUGCCCGGUGCUGGAAGGUUAAGAGGAUGGGUUAGCGUAAGCGAAGCUCAGAAUUGAAGCCCCAGUAAACGGCGGCCGUAACUAUAACGGUCCUAAGGUAGCGAAAUUCCUUGUCGGGUAAGUUCCGACCCGCACGAAAGGCGUAACGAUCUGGGCACUGUCUCAACGAGAGACUCGGUGAAAUUAUAAUACCCGUGAAGAUGCGGGUUACCCGCGACAGGACGGAAAGACCCCAUGGAGCUUUACUGUAGCUUGAUAUUGGGUGUUUGUACAACUUGUACAGGAUAGGUAGGAGCCGUAGAAGUCGGAACGCUAGUUUCGAUGGAGGCAUUGGUGGGAUACUACCCUCGUUGUAUGAACACUCUAACCCUCGCCGGCAAUCACGGCGGGAGACAGUGUCAGGUGGGCAGUUUGACUGGGGCGGUCGCCUCCUAAAAGGUAACGGAGGCGCCCAAAGGUUCCUUCAGAAUGGUUGGAAAUCAUUCGCAGAGUGUAAAGGCAUAAAGGAGCUUGACUGCGAGACCUACAAGUCGAGCAGGGACGAAAGUCGGGCUUAGUGAUCCGGUGGUUCCGUAUGGAAGGGCCAUCGCUCAACGGAUAAAAGCUACCCUGGGGAUAACAGGCUUAUCUCCCCCAAGAGUUCACAUCGACGGGGAGGUUUGGCACCUCGAUGUCGGCUCAUCGCAUCCUGGGGCUGUAGUCGGUCCCAAGGGUUGGGCUGUUCGCCCAUUAAAGCGGUACGCGAGCUGGGUUCAGAACGUCGUGAGACAGUUCGGUCCCUAUCCGUCGCGGGCGUAGGAAAUUUGAGAGGAUCUGUCCUUAGUACGAGAGGACCGGGAUGGACAUACCGCUGGUGUACCAGUUGUUCCGCCAGGAGCAUCGCUGGGUAGCUAAGUAUGGAUGAGAUAAACGCUGAAAGCAUCUAAGUGCGAAACUCACCUCGAGAUAAGAUUUCCCAUUACGUAAGUAAGUAAGAUCCCUGAAAGAUGAUCAGGUAGAUAGGAUGGAAGUGGAAGUGCUGCGAGGCAUGGAGCGGACCAUUACUAAUCGAUCGAGGACUUAACCAAG
rnacentral:rRNA from 1 species